rnacentral:rRNA from 1 species
UACAGAGGUCCCGAGCGUUAGGCGGAAUCACUGGGCUUAAAGCGUGUGUAGGCGGAUCGUUAAGUACCUUGUGAAAUCCCACGGCUUAACCGUGGAACUGCUUGGUAUACUGGCGGUCUUGAGCCAGCUAGGGGCUACCGGAACAAAUGGUGGAGCGGUGAAAUGCGUAGAUAUCAUUUGGAACGCCAAUGGUGAAAACAGGUAGCUGGGGCUGUGCUGACGCUGAGACACGAAAGCCAGGGGAGCAAACGGG